AGGACGAACGCUGGCGGCGUGCUUAACACAUGCAAGUCGAGCGGAAAGGCCCUUCGGGGUACUCGAGCGGCGAACGGGUGAGUAACACGUGAGUAAUCUGCCCUUAGCUCUGGGAUAGCUCCGGGAAAACCGGGAUUAAUACCGGAUACGACUACUACGGACAUCUGUGGUGGUGGAAAGAACUUCGGCUAGGGAUGAGCUCGCGGCCUAUCAGCUUGUUGGUGGGGUAACGGCCUACCAAGGCGACGACGGGUAGCCGGCCUGAGAGGGCGACCGGCCACACUGGGACUGAGACACGGCCCAGACUCCUACGGGAGGCAGCAGUGGGGAAUAUUGCGCAAUGGGCGAAAGCCUGACGCAGCGACGCCGCGUGGGGGAUGAAGGCCUUCGGGUUGUAAACCCCUUUCAGCAGGACGAAGCGAAAGUGACGGUACCUGCAGAAGAAGCGCCGGCUACUACGCGCCAGCAGCCGC
rnacentral:rRNA from 1 species